AACUCAAAGGAAUUGACGGGGGCCCGCACAAGCGGAGGAGCAUGUGGUUUAAUUCGAUGAUACGCGAGGAACCUUACCUGGGCUCGAACGUAAGAUGACUGUAGGUGAAAGCUUACAUCUCUUCGGAGCAUUUUACGAGGUGCUGCAUGGUUGUCGUCAGCUCGUGCCGUGAGGUGUCGGGUUAAGUCCCAUAACGAGCGCAACCCCUACCUUUAGUUGCCAUCAGGUUAAGCUGGGGACUCUAAAGGAACUGCCUACGCAAGUAGUGAGGAAGGCGGGGAUGACGUCAAAUCAGCACGGCCCUUACGUCCAGGGCUACACACGUGCUACAAUGGUCGGUACAAAGGGUUGCCAAGCCGCGAGGUGGAGCUAAUCCCAUAAAACCGAUCGUAGUCCGGAUCGCAGUCUGCAACUCGACUGCGUGAAGUCGGAAUCGCUAGUAAUCGUGAAUCAGAAUGUCACGGUGAAUACGUUCCCGGGCCUU
rnacentral:rRNA from 1 species